GGUAGCUCAGGUGGUAGAGCAACUGACUUUUAAUCAGUGGGUCGCGAGUUCGAUUCUCGCCCGG
rnacentral:tRNA from 1 species